CUGGAGCAGCACCCCACACCUCCAGGGGAGCAUCUGACAUCCUGGAACAGCACCCCACACCCCCAGUGAGCAUCUGACAACCUGGAGCAGCACCCCACACCUCCAGGGGAGCAUCUGACAUCCUGGAACAGCACCCCACACCUCCAGGGGGAGCAUCUGACAGCCUGGAGCAACACCCCACACCUCCAGGGGAGCAUCUGACAGCCUGGAACAGCACUCCACACCUCCAGGGGAGCAUCUGACAGCAUGGACAAGUCCUGCCCCCCGAACUCCAGCCCUUAAGAAAAUCAGAAGCCCUGGCAGGCACAUUGCCUCUGUGCUGUGCUUUUACCCAGCGAAGCAUCAGGGCAGACAGCCAAUUUCAACACUGCUCUUGGCUGGGAAGUGCCCUCAUCUCUGGCAGCCCCCACAGAGAAAGUGCAGGGCCCCGGGGCUGUGGCUGCCUCAGGGCAGGUCUCCCUUGUGACAGCCUCUUGUCAUGGGCCUGGGAGUGGACCCCUCCCAUCCCUGCCGUGCAUCCUGUUGAGUAGACAGCUCAGGCUAGUACCCAAGAGGGUGGCCAGCAGAUCACAGGGGAUGUCCCUUUUGUCUUAGCUGUUUAUGGGCUGGAGGAACCACUGUUCAGCCACAUCUCCUCUCCUGCCCCUCCUGCAUUCACCCGAGGUUGAUGGGAGCUCUGUGGGGGGAGACAGGCAGGGGAGGGGCCAGGCAACACCUGGGCAUAUCCCCAGGGUGCCUCCUCUGAUCCCCAGGAGGGGCAGCACCCACCCUCUUCUUUUUCCAAUUUGUUUUUAUUGUGGUUAAAUAUACAUAACGUAAAAUUUACCAUCUUAAUUAAUUAUCUUUAUGUGUACGGUGUGGUGGCAUUAAAUACAUUCA
rnacentral:lncRNA from 1 species